rnacentral:tRNA from 1 species
CCCGCCAUAGCUCAGUUGGUAAAGAAUCCGCCUGCAAAGCUGGAGACCUGAGUUCGAUCCCUGUGUUGGGA